UUUAACUGGCAUUCAUAAACUUUUGUUCCUGAAAACAGACGGCUCGACUAACCUGUUUACUUGUGUGUGGUAGGCAGCCUAGUGUCUGUCAAACUCAUAGUCAGAGUGGUUGAUAAAGUGAAGUUUGACCGAAUUAUUUUUUAUCAUGUUCUAAUGAGACUGACGUUUGUUAAACUUCAACUGAAGUUUACGAGUUUACGCGAAGACGAGACGAUGUCUAGGAAUCGGUUGGAAGAUGAUCUCAUGUGUGUUAUCUGCCAAGAUAUCUUCACAUAUCCCGUCAUCUUGACAUGCAGUCACAGCUUUUGCAGAGCUUGUCUGGAGCAAUUUUGGCACGUGAAGACCUCUCGAGAAUGUCCAGUUUGCAGUAGAAAAUGCUCCAAGUCCAGUUACCCUCUGAACCGAGCUUUGAGGAACGUGUGUGAGGCCUUUGUACAACAAAAUGUAUGUCCAAGAACACCUGCUAGUCCUAAACUAUUCCUCCACUAUGCGGUAGCUGUGGUAAGCGACCUCAUAGCUCGACUCCUCAACUUGGGUCUCUUCAGACGCCUGUUCCAGAUAGCGCUCAUCCUCUUGUUUUUUUCUGGGCCUCUUCUGACUACACGGAUCUCCAAAUACAGCGUGUUCGCUAACAAGAAUCACUACUUGUACAGGAUGUUCCUGAGCUCAGUUUGGGGUUGGACCUGCAUCCUCACUGGAUCCUUCAUUUUCCUGCUCUCCUUCACCCUCCGCCGCUCCUUCUUUCUCUCCCUCCGUCACCUCAGUCGACUGGCUGCAGCCAGUGCUGUGUGGCUGGGCCUACGCUGGCUUUUGACCCAUCUGGAGAACACCACCGGCAGCUGUUUUGAGCCUCUCAGCGCCACUCUGAAAGCCUUCAUGGAGGCUGCAUCUCCUGGAGAAGGCUCAAGACUGCUGCUCCGGGAUGGGGAGAGUAAGAUGAGCUGUUUGCACGCCGGGUUCCAGUGGCGCAGUGGCUGCGAGGUAUCCCAGGAGGCCCUGCUGCUGUGUCUGUGUAGCCUGCUGCUGUUGGAAGAGGUGUCUGUGUUUCGGCGCUGCACAUACUCCCAUGGAACCCCCCUCCGACUGCUUUUCCUGCUCUGUGUCUCCCUGCUUGGGCUGUGGUUAUUUCUGCUCUUCUGCCUAUUGAUUCACUUCUCACAAUUCCUCUCCCAGUUGAUAGGGGGAGCUCUAGGUUUCAUGACCUGGAGCAUUCUCUACCAAGGAUGGUUCAGAAGAGAACUAAGGUGGUGGUGUCCAGGGGCUCCCGGUAAUGGACUAAUACAGGAAAACCACACAGAAAAGGACAGGUGAAGAAUUGACACAUUAAUGUCUAUAUGAUGUGGUCUUCAGUGAGGUUAUUUGUGCUAAAAUAUCAAAAAGAAGUCUGAGAAAUCAUAAUGUCAUGAAAGGAUAAGGAUAACGAGUCACUUUCUGCAGAACACAUAGUUCACAGAUAACACAUCAUUUAAUUUGAUUUAUUGUGCAUGUUCAAGUGUCUUGUUCCUAAUUCUGUAACUUGCAACAAGACAAGUAACAGGAUUGGUGAGUGGAGUCCCUUGGCCCUAAGUCAGUUACACUAUGUAGGCCUACUGUAUUAUAGCAGUGCAGACUCAAGACUGUUAUCAUUAUAUCUUGACCAUCAUACCAACCAGGAAGUAAGUGGAAUUGACCAUAGGACGUUGUAUGGAAGUCAUUUCCUGUUCAGGGAACUAUCUCUCUGUCUAUGACAGUAAAAAAUAGUAAAAACAGUUUAUUCUAUGUAUUUGUGUUUUUUGCCAAUCAAAAUUCAAAAAUAAUAUAUUAUAUAAAAUAAUUUUUGACAUUUUCUGCUCUUGUUUGUGUAUAUAGUUAGUUAAAAUGAAAUGACAAUAGUCAUAAUACUCAUAUAAUACUCAUAUUGCUUAGGUUGUGCUGAAAAAAAGUUAUUUCUGAGAUUCUGAUACGUUUUCAACCAUGACGUAUGCACAACGUUGAAAACGUAUCAUAAUCUCAGAAAUAAUCACGUAUGCAGUCAUCUUAAGGUGGCGACAUCAAGUCGAAUCCACCUAAUAAAACAUUGUGCAAAACUGCAAAAAAUGCUGUGAGUUUUAAGGGUUAACCCUGUCGGCAUCAGCGCUGAUAUUGGUCGUGUUGAAUGCACUGCCCUAUCUGUCAUCAUAUAAGGCCCACCCCAUGCCGGCUAAGUAAUUGUGAUUGGUGUCUGGGUUUUUGGAAUGUUGGCAAUGGGUGGCAAUGGCCUCCUUGCCAGACUGACCUGCAGAGCGAAUUCAAAUUUGCCAAAUGAUUUGUCUGGGUUCUUCCAGGCGAUGCAUCUGCAUUUUUACAUCUUUUUGUGUUUGCAUUCUCAUGCCACUAUAUAAGUCACCAUGUCACAGCAUAAACACACUGGCCCUUUAAUAGGAAAUAAAGUGUCACAUCUACCAGGAAAGACUAAAGUCCAACUUAUUUGGUAUAUUGUAUAUUGUUUUUGUUUAAUUAGAAGCCAUCUGAACAAAUUGUUACAAUUCUAGAUCAAGAAAGUUGGCAGUACUGGUUAUUAAGGAUUUAAAAUAGUUGGAACAUUGUGAAGAAAGUACAUUUCUCAGUCUAAAAGUGAAAGUAAAGUCAUUGAUCGCAUUGACAUUUAAGUUAGUUGACAGCUAUUGCUAGACAGAUGUCUGCCGGCGAUAUAGAUAUGACGGCACCUGCAGAGCCUGAGGUGCUCUGUAUUCAUCACAAAGAGAAAUUCAAGCUCUUCAGCCAAGAUGAUGCAGAGACUGUGUGUCUGGUGUGUCGAGACUCAAAACGGCACAAAGGCCACAACUUUAGCCCCAUUGAUGAAGCAGCCCUUGAGCGUAAAGAUGAACUUGCAUUCAAACUGAAGCCCAUCCAGCAAAAGAUCAGAAAAUGCGAGGAAGUUAG